rnacentral:rRNA from 1 species
GUGAGGAAUAUUGGACAAUGGGCGCAAGCCUGAUCCAGCCAUGCCGCGUGCAGGAAGACGCAUCUAUGGUGUGUAAACUGCUUUUGUACGGGAAGAAACACUCCCUCGUGAGGGAGCUUGACGGUACCGUAAGAAUAAGGAUCGGCUAACUCCGUGCCAGCAGCCGCGGUAAUACGGAGGAUCCAAGCGUUAUCCGGAAUCAUUGGGUUUAAAGGGUCCGUAGGCGGUUUAAUAAGUCAGUGGUGAAAGCCCAUCGCUCAACGAUGGAACGGCCAUUGAUACUGUGAGACUUGAAUUACAAGGAAGUAACUAGAAUAUGUAGUGUAGCGGUGAAAUGCUUAGAUAUUACAUGGAAUACCAAUUGCGAAGGCAGGUUACUACUUGUGGAUUGACGCUGAUGGACGAAAGCGUGGGGAGCGAACAGGAUUAGAAACCCUAGUAGUCC